CAACUGCUGAGUCAUACGGUAGUUGUGUGUUUAGGUUUUUUGAGGAACUACCAAAUUUGCCAGUGACUGCACUGUUUUAUAUUACUCUUGGCAAUAUACGAGUAACCCAGUUUCUUCUCAUCCUCAUCAGAAUUUGAUGUCAAUAUUUUCUAGCCAUAUGAUAGUGGAACAGGAUGGCUGUGCACACUGAGAGAGAUGCCGAGUUCUACUGAGAGCUGCCUGGAGAUGAGACUCCUUUCGAUUAAUUCUCCCACCAGGUUCACGACACCAUCAGAGCCUGCAAACUGUGUACUUGAAUCAGCAUUCUGUUUUUCUCCCUGAUUGAAACCCUCUUCUUUUCCUUGCCAUUGUUUUUGAAUCUGUUUAAUACUUUUAUGAAAAUAAAGAGAUCUGUUUGCUGAAAAAAUCA